UGACUGUGAAUUAACAGAGAAGAGUUGCUCGGAUCUAGCCACAUUUCUCAGAUCAGAUCGGUCCACUCUGAGAGAACUGGAUCUGGGCAACAAUAAAAUACAGGAUUCAGGAGUGAAGCAGCUGACUUCUGGACUGGAGGAUACACAUUGUAAACUGGAGAAACUGAAGCUUAAUAACAGCAGUAUAACAGAAGAAGGCUGUGCUGCUCUGACUUCAGCUCUCAGAUCAAACCCCUCACACCUGAUAGAGCUGAAUCUGAGUUGGAAUAAACUAGGAGACUCAGGAGUAAAGCACAUCUCUGUCCUACUGGAGAAUCCACACUGUAAACUACAGACACUGCUGUUAGUAAAAAAAAAAAAAAAAAAGCGUGUACGAUGAAAUAUACUAAACAGACUUUUAAUUAUUAAAAUAUAAAAAGGAAGUGAAAGUUUUUUUUCCCCCUUGAAUUAUUUAUGAAGAUACUUGACGUAUAUGGCCUCUUCUUUCAUCCAAGGUGGUCUUAAGCCACUCAGUAAUUAAAUAAUCAGCAACGUAUCUGUUUUCAUGUGUUAAGCUAAUGCAAUGAAAGGUCCCUCUUUUUCCUCUCUCUCUCUCUCCAGGCUUAAUAACAGCAGUAUAACAGCAGAAGGCUGUGCUGCUCUGACUUCAGCUCUCAGAUCAAACCCCUCACACCUGAUAGAGCUGGAUCUAAGUGGGAAUAAACUAGGAGACUCAGGAGUGAAGCACAUCUCUGUUCUACUGGAGAAUCCAAGCUGUAAACUACAGACACUGCUCUCUGAAAUCAAACCCCUCACACCUGUUGGAGCU